UGAGAAGUUACCUGCAGCCAUUCCCGUCUCGGGCCCCGUUUGGGGUUUUACCCGAGAAAAGGUGGUUUGGGGAGAGGUGGGUGCUCUCCCACUAUCCUAUGCGUACCUGUGACACUAGAAAUGAAAAAGAGCCUAAGGAGUACCGUCUGCGGAGAGGCCAGCUUGGAAGAACCUGUGUUUGCAGCAAAGGCGGAUGGCGGUCAGAAGACGGCCUCGUGGGGUCUCUGCCAGGUCUGUUUGGAGGACCGGGCGGCUGAGGGACUGGAGUGCAGGGCUGCCGGAUCCGUGUCUGCUGGAUCGGUCUGGCCUCUCCAAGCACGGUUCGGCCUCGCGAAGCUGUGCAACAGGUCUGGUCCCAUUUCAUCUGGCUUUCUCCUCCCGUGGAAUGAUAAGCUCUUCAAACAGACAUUCCUUCCUUGUGCCCGGUAAGGCUUAGUGGAAGCACAAAGCAAGAAGAGGUGUGG